UCAAGUAAGUAAGGGCGUACGGCGGAUGCCUUGGCCAUAUCAGCCGAAGAAGGACGCGAUAAGCUGCGAUAAGCUGCGGUGAGGUGCAAGUAACCUUUGACCCGCAGAUCUCCGAAUGGGGAAACCCGGCAGCAGUAGUGCUGUCAUCCUCUAUGAGGAAGGGCACCCGGUGAACUGAAACAUCUAAGUAGCCGGAGGAAAAGGAAUCAACAGAGAUACCCCUAGUAGCGGCGAGCGAACGGGGCAGAGCCCAAACCGGAAUGGGAAACCAAUCCGGGGUUGUGGACUGCUAUCAAAUGCAUGAGUGAAGCAGAAUGAGCUGGGAAGCUCAGCCAGAGAGAGUGAGAGCCUCGUAGGCGUAAGCAAAUGCAUGGAGCAGGAUCCGGAGUACCACGGGACACGAGAAACCCUGUGGGAAGCUGGGGGGACCACCCUCCAAGGCGAAACACUGAUAUGGACCGAUAGCGCAUAGUACCGUGAGGGAAAGGUGAAAAGAACCCCGGGAGGGGAAUGAAAGAGAACCUGAAACCGUAUGUCUACAAGCAGUCGAAGCACUUUAUAGGUGCGACGGCGUGCCUAUUGAAGAAUGAACCGGCGAGUUACUUCAGCUAGCGAGGUUAAGCGGAAAACGUGGAGCCGAAGCGAAAGCGAGUCUGAACAGGGCGUAUAGUUAGUUGGAGUAGACCCGAAACCACAGUGAUCUACCCAUGUCCAGGUUGAAGCACAGGUAAAAAUGUGUGGAGGACCGAACCAGUGAGCGUUGAAAAGCUUUUGGAUGAGAUGUGGGUAGGGGUGAAAUGCCAAUCGAACGUGGAGAUAGCUGGUUCUCCCCGAAAUAGCUUUAGGGCUAGCCUCAUGGCGAGAGUACAGGCGGUAGAGCACUGAACGGGGUAGGGGCCUAUCCGGCUACUGAACCUAAUCAAACUGCGAAUGGCUGUACUUAUCCAUGGGAGUCAGACUGUGAGUAAUAAGGCCCAUAGUCAAGAGGGAAACAGCCCAGACCAACAGCUAAGGUCCCCAAUGCCGUACUAAGUGGCGAAGGAUGUGGAAUUUCGAAAACAACCAGGAUGUUGGCUCAGAAGCAGCCACCAUUAAAAGAGUGCGUAAUAGCUCACUGGUCGAGAGACUCUGCGCCGAAGAUGUCCGGGGCUAAAGUACGGAACCGAAGCUUUGGCAAUUGACAUUAGUCAAUUGGGUAGGGGAGCGUUCCUGCAUGGGAGAAGCCUGACCGGAAGGACAGGUGGACAGGCAGGAAGAGAGAAUGCCGGUAUGAGUAGCGAAAAGAAGGGUGAGAAUCCCUUCCACCGAAAGCCUAAGGGUUCCUGGGCAACGAUCGUCGUCCCAGGGUAAGUCGGGACCUAAUCCGAGGCGGAGACGCGUAGGAGAUGGACAACAGGUUGAAAUUCCUGUACUGGCUGAGGCCGUUUGAGCGAAGGAGUGACACAGGAAGGAAGGCGCGCGUGCGAUUGGAAGAGCACGUCCAAGCAGGUAGGUUGGGAGACAGGCAAAUCCGUUUCCCGAGAGGCCGAGAUGCGAUGGGGAGCUUCUGGAGACAGAAGCGAAGGGGCUGGCACUAAACUGUCGAGAAAAGCUUCUAGUGAGGACUCAGGCACCCGUACCGAAACCGACACAGGUAGGCAGGAUGAGAAUUCUAAGGUGCGCGGGAAAACCCUCGUUAAGGAACUCGGCAAAAUAUAUCCGUAACUUCGGGAAAAGGAUAACCCAGCGUACGUGAAGUGCAGAAGCGCACGGAGCGGAGAUGGGUGGCAGAAGAGAGGCCCAAGCGACUGUUUACCACAAACACAGGCGUCUGCUAAAGCGAAAGCUGAUGUAUAGAUGCUGACACCUGCCCGGUGCUGGAAGGUUAAGAGGAAGUGUUAGCGCAAGCGAAGCAGUGAAUUGAAGCCCCAGUAAACGGCGGCCGUAACUAUAACGGUCCUAAGGUAGCGAAAUUCCUUGUCGGGUAAGUUCC
rnacentral:rRNA from 1 species